rnacentral:lncRNA from 1 species
AACCAGCGGCUGCGCAUCCCCGCAGAUGCCGCCCAGACCGCGCGCGCGCCUACGCCUCCCGGCCCACGUGCCAGCUGGCGUGGCUUGGGAACGCUUCUCCCCUAGGCAGUUACGCCCAUCCCUAGGGACGAAACAGAACUUCAACUUCGGGUUCCCAGCCCUCAAACAGUUAAGUGACUUCCUGCAAACGCUACAGUCCCAGCAACCAGGCUUCCAAUCAAAAGUAAGUUGGUUGAUGUCACUGGCAUUGGCUCAGCCAAUCAGAAGGGCGUUCCAAAAGGAAGCGCCCGACACUUGUAAACCUGCGGAGCAGAAGUGAAUCGGACAGAUCUUUUCAUAUUUGUGUUGCUGGUGCUAACUCUAAAAUAUAGAUGGAAGGACGGGGUGCUUAAUAAACUAAGUGUGAGUCAAAUUUUAAACCCUC